AUGGUUGAUUAUGAUUACUUGGUUGUUGCUCUUGGAGUUACUGUGAAUACAUUCAACACUCCUGGUGUGAUGGGGCAUUGCCACUUUCUGAAGGUAAUGGAGGAUGCCCAAAAGAUUCGGAAGAGCGUGAUAGACUACUUUGAAAAGGCGUCACCUCCUAACCUCAGUGAAGAGGAGAGAAGGAAGAUCCUUCACUUUGUGAUUAUCGGUGGUGGACCUACUGGGGUUGAAUUUGCGGUGGAGUUGCAUGAUUUUCUUGUCGAAGAUCUGGUGAAGCUAUAUCCUGCAAUUGAAGAAUUUGUGAAGAUAACAAUUCUGCAAUCAGGAGAACAUACAAUGAGGGUUGAACGUUCCUGCAGUAAUAACCUUAGUUUUGGGCAAGAUGAUCAAGGAGUAGCGAAACUUUAG
rnacentral:rRNA from 1 species